CCUAACCCAUGACCCAGGCGCCCUGGGUCUCCCCACAGGCCCUCUGGAGCAGGUCCCCGUUGCUUCUGUCAUGCCCACAGGUUGGGCCGCCCCUCCAGCAGACGCCUUUUGUUGGGAGAGGGAGGCAGGACGUAUACUCCCACCAGGAAAUGAAGCCAGCAGAUAGAUGCCUUUGCAAACUAGCUGGUCAGGAGUGGGGAACCCGACCUGAGGCGGCUGUGGGCACCGCGGCUGUCCCAGCAGCAGCUGAGGCCCUUGCUGUCUGCUGUCCCAAGCACUCUGGACCCACAACCCUAAGAACUUGGUACCGUCACCCAUUUCCCAGAGGACACCAAGAGGGCAGCCCCAGGUAGGGAACCCACAUCUGCCUGUCCCCCCUCAGAGCUGGCAGCGCUGCAGGUGGUGGCGCCGGCGGAGGGCAGCAGCGGCCUCACCCUCCUCCAGGAGACAUACCAGCUCUACAAGGACGACCCGGAGGUGGUGGAGAAUGUGUGCAUGCUGCUGGCCCACCUCGCUUCCUACAGUGAGAUCCUGCCCGAGCUGGUGUCGAGCGGCAUCCAGCCACUGGCCCAGGAGAUCAAGGGGCGCUUCACCUCCAGCCUUGGGGUGGUCUCUUAUGCAGAGAAGGUGCUCCUGAGGCUGGAUGCGGCCACUCCACCCAGCUCUGCCGCAGGGCAGUCGGCUCCACCCUGAGGCUGGCAGCUGCCCACCCGCUCCUGCCUGCCCGCCUUCUUUCCCCCGACCCCUCUCCCGGUCCCUUUUUUCUUGGACUUCACUGGAACUGCCCAGGGAAGGGGCAUUUUUCCCAGGGUCAGGGUAUGUGCACGUGCAUCUCACAAUCUACAUGACCAAAAGGGCAUGCGAGCUGUCCCUCGCAGGCGCACGACUGACCGGCAGUGCUGGACUCUGCAGUCUUUGUACAAACUGCAGCCCUGGCCUGAACAGGUGCAGCCGUCAGCCAGGGGGCCUGACCGUUCUGAAUGAGGGGAGGACAGUGAAGGUCACAAGCUCCAUCUCAAGUAAAAACCUGUUUAUAUUAUGUUA